rnacentral:rRNA from 1 species
AACGAACGCUGGCGGCAGGCUUAACACAUGCAAGUCGAACGCGUGUAGCAAUACACGAGUGGCGCACGGGUGAGUAACGCGUGGAUAUCUGCCUUUUGGUUCGGAAUAACCCCGGGAACUGGGGCUAAUACCGGAUGGUUCCUUCGGGAUAAAGAUUUAUCGCCAAAAGAUGAGUCCGCGUACGAUUAGCUAGUUGGUGAGGUAAUGGCUCACCAAGGCGACGAUCGUUAGCUGGUCNG